rnacentral:lncRNA from 1 species
AAAAAUAAUAAUCCCCCAAAAAAGAAAUAAACCCAACCUAAUAUUUUCCACCCUAGCUGUCAUAAGUACAAUAACCCUACCCCUAGCCCCCCAACUAAUUAUCUAGAAGUUUAGGAUAUAUUAGUCCGCGAGCCUUCAAAGCCCUAAGAAAACACACAAGUUUAACUUCUGAUAAGGACUGUAGGACUUCAUCCCACAUCUAUUGAAUGCAAAUCAAUUGCUUUAAUUAAGCUAAGACCUCAACUAGAUUGGCAGGAAUUAAACCUACGAAAAUUUAGUUAACAGCUAAAUACCCUAUUACUGGCUUCA